rnacentral:rRNA from 1 species
CACGUAGGGGGCGAGCGUUGUCCGGAUUUACUGGGCGUAAAGAGCGCGCAGGCGGUCGUUCAAGUCGAGUGUGAAAGCCCCCGGCUCAACUGGGGAGGGUCACUCGAUACUGAUCGACUCGAAGGCAGGAGAGGGUAGUGGAAUUCCCGGUGUAGUGGUGAAAUGCGUAGAUAUCGGGAGGAACACCAGUGGCGAAGGCGACUACCUGGCCUGUUCUUGACGCUGAGGCGCGAAAGCUAGGGGAGCAAACGGG